rnacentral:rRNA from 1 species
UGGGGAAUUUUGGACAAUUGGGCGAAAGCCUGAUCCAGCAAUGCCGCGUGUGUGAAGAAGGCCUUCGGGUUGUAAAGCACUUUUGUCCGGAAAGAAAUCCUUGGCUCUAAUACAGUCGGGGGAUGACGGUACCGGAAGAAUAAGCACCGGCUAACUACGUGCCAGCAGCCGCGGUAAUACGUAGGGUGCAAGCGUUAAUCGGAAUUACUGGGCGUAAAGCGUGCGCAGGCGGUUUGCUAAGACCGAUGUGAAAUCCCCGGGCUCAACCUGGGAACUGCAUUGGUGACUGGCAGGCUAGAGUAUGGCAGAGGGGGGUAGAAUUCCACGUGUAGCAGUGAAAUGCGUAGAGAUGUGGAGGAAUACCGAUGGCGAAGGCAGCCCCCCUGGGCCAAUACUGACGCUCAUGCACGAAAGCGUGGGGAGCAAACAGGAUUAGAUACCCUGGUAGUCCACGCCCUAAACGAUGUCAACUAGUUGUUGGGGAUUCAUUUCCUUAGUAACGUAGCUAACGCGUGAAGUUGACCGCCUGGGGAGUACGGUCGCAAGAUUAAAACUCAAAGGAAUUGACGGGGUCAUAGCUGUUUCCU